rnacentral:miRNA from 1 species
GAAUGUUUCACCAUUCUCUGCCUUUUGCUUUAUAUAUCUAUAUAUAUAAAGCAAAAGGCAGAGAAUGGUGAAACAUUC